rnacentral:misc_RNA from 1 species
AAAAUUUAAAUAUUAAAUUAUUUAUUUUGCUCGAAUGACCAAUUGGGACUUGGUGUAUGGAAAAAAUAGUUGGUGACCAAUCGGUACUAAUGACAAAUUGGGAAUAACUCAUCCGGACACGCGCAUUCGAUUCGAAACUCAAACAAACAUUUCGCAAAUACCUACCUUUUGUGAAUUGUUAAAGUUUCUUCAAGAUUAUGUUAAAAUCUUAGAAACUAAUCAGCUAUCUUCUAAAUCUAGAAAUAAUAAUAAUUCUAGUUCCCCGCGUAAACUCGCGUAUACAAAAUUUCCGAUCGGACCCGCACCGCGCGGGCAAAAUAGCAGCGGACAAAAACGCUCAUCUUAUCUCCCUAAAUCUAACUCACUUGCAAAUGUGGCUUGUGCUCAUUGCAAUAAUGCGCACUCAAUUUAUCAGUGCCCUACCUUUCAAUCUUUAGACUCUCGUGCUAGACUCGCAUUAAUAAAAACUAAAAAUACCUAAUAUGUGUACAAACUGUUUACGUACAAAUCACGCCAUAGAAAAAUGCUUAUCAAAAAUGACUUGUACGGUGUGUGGUUUACGUCAUCAUACCCUGCUGCAUAUAGACCCAGCGCCAUCCACCAGCACUGAAGCGAACGUUACAGCUCAUUCUCACGCUGCAGUUCCCAAUCGCGAUAUGGUUUUACUAGGAACCUGUCAGGUGCGCGCCCUCAACACCACCGCCGGCACGCAAUGUACCGUGCGCGCACUCGUUGACAGUGGGGCCCAGGAUUGUUUUAUUACUUCUGCAUGCGCAAAAACACUUGGGUUAAAACUCCGCCGGUGUAAUCUUACCAUAGCCGGACUGGGGCAAAACUCAGUUACACACGUAAGGGGGGUGACAGACUGCACUAUACUACCUGUACAUGGUGAUGCUCCGCACUUUAAUAUCAAACCAGUCGUAUUAGAUAACAUCACAGCUCUAAUACCUAGCGUUAAAGUACCAUCAGUCGUUCGAGAACGCUCCAAACAUCUCGUGUUAGCUGAUCGCGACUAUGAUGUUCCCGCUAAAAUUGAUUUACUAAUAGGGGCGGAGCUAUUCCACGAUAUUUAUGACGGUCAACGUAUCAAUCUGGGGCCCGGUUUACCUACCGCUCUGCAUAGCGUUUUCGGGUGGAUUUUGACAGGGGCAGUCAAUUCUAAUUCUGUACCCUUGAACACAGCGUGCUCUUUAGUGGUCACCACAUUUAAAUUAGAGGAACAAAUUCAAAAAUGUUGGGAGGUGGAGGAACCACCACGCGCUAUUAUCACCGUACCCGAGAAUGAUACCUGCGAACGCAUGUACACAGAUCUAACCUAUCGCGAACCUAACGGUCGAUAUGUCGUACCUAUCCUCUUAAAGGAAGGCGAUCAGUCAUUGGGUGAAUCUUACAAUAAUACACUCUCGCGUUUUACUAAUCUUGAAAAGAAACUUAAUCGUCAGACUGAACUUAAAUCCGAUUAUGUAAACUUUAUGCGCGAGUACGAGAAUUUAAAUCAUAAUAUAUGUAUCCUGCACCUGACCCUGCAGUACCUACUCUCAAUCGUUAUCUCAUCCCUCACAGUUGCGUCGUUCGUCCAGAGAGCACGACCACUAAAUUGAGAGUAGUAUUCGAUGCUAGCUCUUAAACUACUAACGGUCUUUCUUUAAAUGACAUUGUUUAUACUGGCCCAAAGCUUCAAGUAGAUAUUGUAGACAUCAUAACUGGCUUCAGAUUACACACAGUAGUUUUAACGUGUGACAUAUCCAAGAUGUAUAGAGGGAUCUUAAUAAGACCGGAGGAUCGGAAUUAUCAACACAUACUAUGGCGAGAAUCUCCCAGUGAUCCAGUAAAAGAGUACGAACUCGCGACUGUCACCUACGGAGUUAGUAGUUCACCUUAUCUGGCCAUCCGCACCCUCCACCAAUUAGCUGUCGAUCAUGGCGCCGCGUACCCACGCGCAGCUGAAGCUCUUCUUCAUGAGACAUAUGUCGACGAUAUAACUAGUGGCGCGCCCUCUGUACGUGAAGCUAUAGAACUAAAAAAUCAACUUAUCGCUUUGCUGGGUUGUGCUCAACUUGAGCUCCGAAAAUGGAGUAGUAAUUCGCAAUCUGUUCUUAAUACUUUGCCAGUAGAUCAUUGUCAAAAACCUAAACUUUUUUCUGUUGAAAGCGAUAAAUCAACUUUAAAAAUCUCUCUUCCCGAACCGGUACAUUUGAAAACGUAAGUUUACGUACUCGUUGGCAGCUUUUACAGCGCCUAUCUCAGAGUUUUUGGCGCACUUGGAAAAGGGACUAUUUACAUACGUUGCAACAGCGACUAAAAUGGUUUAAACAUGGCAACCAUCAGCCAAAGUUGAAUGAUCUUGUAACCAUUUACGAACCCAACUUACCUGCUAACGAAUGGAGGUUGGGUCGCGUUGUACAGCUCCAUCCGGGUAAAGAUAACAUUACUCGUGUGGUAACAGUUAAAACAUCAAAAGGCUUACUUACAAGACCUGCUGUCAAAAUUUGUCCUCUUCCAAUUGAACAAAACAACUAAUUUAACUACACAAAUUUUUACUAUUACAUUAUCUUAAUUAUAUUAUAUUUCUUUUAUUAUAACACACUUAUCUUAAAACUUAUACGUAUCUAUUAUCUUAUUAUUAGUAUAUUAACCAAAAAUCUUAUAAUGAUGACAUAUGAAUCUGCAUAGGCCCUCGAUCUUAAAUUAUCAAACCGUAUCUUAUGAAAUCCCUGGGUGAUUUCAAGUGGGGGGAUAUGAACAGGCUUUGGGAUACUUCCUUUCCCAUCCUUUUCCCUCACUAUUCUCUAUCAUCACAAAGCACCGAACGCAGCCAAAACUGCGCAUGGAGCGCCAUCUAUUGAACUCAUAGACAAAACUCCAGUUUCAAACUCAGCAAUGGCCGGCCGGCAUCGAUAACUGGGCGCGCGGUGUAAAAAAUCAAGUUAAACCUGUGAAUACGACUAAAAGUGCUCUGGUGUUGUGAUCCCUGUGUUCCUGGCAUCCUCUGAGUUCAAUAGUGUGCAUCCUGCUAGUGCUGUGCCUGGCGGUGCUCGUCCGGGAAUCGAACGCGCGACCCCCGUGGCUGGCGCCCGGUAGUGGAGUGUUUACUGAGUCCGCUGAA